rnacentral:rRNA from 1 species
CUUUGUUUUAAAACUGAAGGUGGUCACGGAUGGGCUCGCGAGCCAUUAGCCAGUUGGCGGGGUAACGGGCCCACCAAAAGCGACGAUGCCUGGGGUUUUGAGAGGAAGACCCCCCACACUGGAACUGAGACACGGUCCAGACUCCUCCGGGAGGCAGCAGUGAGGAAUAUUGGGCAAUGGAGGAAACUCUGAUCCAGCCAUGCCGCGUGAAGGAAGAAGGCCCUAUGGUUCGUAAACAUCUUUUGUCGCAGAGCAAUAAGUUCCACGCGUGGAUCGAUGAGAGUAUGCGACGAAUAAGCAUCGGCUAACUCCGUGCCAGCAGCCGCGGUAAUACGGGGGAUGCGAGCGUUAUCCGGAUUUAUUGGGUUUAAAGGGUGCGUAGGCUGCUCUGCAAGUCGGUGGUGAAACCCCGGGGCUCAACCCCGGGCGUGCCGUCGAAACUGUGGGGCUUGAAUUCGGAUGCCGUGGGAGGAAUGAGUAGUGUAGCGGUGAAAUGCAUAGAUAUUACUCAGAACACCGAUUGCGAAGGCAUCUCACGAAUCCGACAUUGACGCUGAGGCACGAAAGCGUGGGGAUCAAACAGGAUUAGAUACCCUGGUAGUCCACGCAGUAAACGAUGAUGAAUAACCGCCGGCGACAUACCGAUCGGGGCCAAGCGAAAGCGAU